GGGUUGUGAGGUUAAGCGACUAAGCGUACACGGUGGAUGCCCUGGCAGUCAGAGGCGAUGAAGGGCGUGCUAAUCUGCGAUAAGCGCCGGUAAGGUGAUAUGAACCGUUAUAACCGGCGAUACCCGAAUGGGGAAACCCAGUGUGAUUCGUCACACUAUCAUUACGUGAAUACAUAGCGUAAUGAAGCGAACCGGGGGAACUGAAACAUCUAAGUACCCCGAGGAAAAGAAAUCAACCGAGAUUCCCCCAGUAGCGGCGAGCGAACGGGGAGGAGCCCAGAGCCUGAAUCAGCAUGUGUGUUAGUGGAAGCGUCUGGAAAGGCGCGCGAUACAGGGUGACAGCCCCGUACACAAAAGCGCAUGUGUUGUGAGCUCGAUGAGUAGGGCGGGACACGUGGUAUCCUGUCUGAAUAUGGGGGGACCAUCCUCCAAGGCUAAAUACUCCUGACUGACCGAUAGUGAACCAGUACCGUGAGGGAAAGGCGAAAAGAACCCCGGCGAGGGGAGUGAAAAAGAACCUGAAACCGUGUACGUACAAGCAGUGGGAGCACCCUUUGGGGUGUGACUGCGUACCUUUUGUAUAAUGGGUCAGCGACUUAUAUUCUGUAGCAAGGUUAACCGAAUAGGGGAGCCGGAGGGAAACCGAGUCUUAAUUGGGCGUUAAGUUGCAGGGUAUAGACCCGAAACCCGGUGAUCUAGCCAUGGGCAGGUUGAAGGUUGGGUAACACUAACUGGAGGACCGAACCGACUAAUGUUGAAAAAUUAGCGGAUGACCUGUGGCUGGGGGUGAAAGGCCAAUCAAACCGGGAGAUAGCUGGUUCUCCCCGAAAGCUAUUUAGGUAGCGCCUCGUGAAUUCAUCUCCGGGGGUAGAGCACUGUUUCGGCUAGGGGGCCAUCCCGGCUUACCAACCCGAUGCAAACUGCGAAUACCGGAGAAUGUUAUCACGGGAGACACACGGCGGGUGCUAACGUCCGUCGUGAAGAGGGAAACAACCCAGACCGCCAGCUAAGGUCCCAAAGUCAUAGUUAAGUGGGAAACGAUGUGGGAAGGCCCAGACAGCCAGGAUGUUGGCUUAGAAGCAGCCAUCAUUUAAAGAAAGCGUAAUAGCUCACUGGUCGAGUCGGCCUGCGCGGAAGAUGUAACGGGGCUAAACUAUGCACCGAAGCUGCGGC
rnacentral:rRNA from 1 species